rnacentral:tRNA from 1 species
GCAGGGAUAGCCAAGUCAGGCCAACGGCGCAGCGUUCAGGGCGCUGUCCUGUAGAGGUCCGCAGGUUCAAAUCCUGCACGGCGGCA